rnacentral:rRNA from 1 species
GAAAGGGAAACAGCCCAGACCACCAGCUAAGGUCCCAAAAUAUAUGUUAAGUGGAAAAGGAUGUGGCGUUGCCCAGACAACUAGGAUGUUGGCUUAGAAGCAGCCAUCAUUUAAAGAGUGCGUAAUAGCUCACUAGUCGAGUGACACUGCGCCGAAAAUGUACCGGGGCUAAACAUAUUACCGAAGCUGUGGAUUGUCCUUUGGACAAUGGUAGGAGAGCGUUCUAAGGGCGUUGAAGCAUGAUCGUAAGGACAUGUGGAGCGCUUAGAAGUGAGAAUGCCGGUGUGAGUAGCGAAAGACGGGUGAGAAUCCCGUCCACCGAUUGACUAAGGUUUCCAGAGGAAGGCUCGUCCGCUCUGGGUUAGUCGGGUCCUAAGCUGAGGCCGACAGGCGUAGGCGAUGGAUAACAGGUUGAUAUUCCUGUACCACCUAUAAUCGUUUUAAUCGAUGGGGGGACGCAGUAGGAUAGGCGAAGCGUGCGAUUGGAUUGCACGUCUAAGCAGUAAGGCUGAGUAUUAGGCAAAUCCGGUACUCGUUAAGGCUGAGCUGUGAUGGGGAGGAGACAUUGUGUCUUCGAGUCGUUGAUUUCACACUGCCGAGAAAAGCCUCUAGAUAGAAAAUAGGUGCCCGUACCGCAAACCGACACAGGUAGUCAAGAUGAGAAUUCUAAGGUGAGCGAGCGAACUCUCGUUAAGGAACUCGGCAAAAUGACCCCGUAACUUCGGGAGAAGGGGUGCUCUUUAGGGUUAACGCCCAGAAGAGCCGCAGUGAAUAGGCCCAAGCGACUGUUUAUCAAAAACACAGGUCUCUGCUAAACCGUAAGGUGAUGUAUAGGGGCUGACGCCUGCCCGGUGCUGGAAGGUUAAGAGGAGUGGUUAGCUUCUGCGAAGCUACGAAUCGAAGCCCCAGUAAACGGCGGCCGUAACUAUAACGGUCCUAAGGUAGCGAAAUUCCUUGUCGGGUAAGUUCCGACCCGCACGAAAGGCGUAACGAUUUGGGCACUGUCUCAACGAGAGACUCGGUGAAAUCAUAGUACCUGUGAAGAUGCAGGUUACCCGCGACAGGACGGAAAGACCCCGUGGAGCUUUACUGUAGCCUGAUAUUGAAAUUCGGCACAG